CUGUUCCCUACUCUCCCUUCUUUCCUUUUUCAUUCCUCCACUUUUUAUUCUAUUUCUUCUUUUGAGAUUACAAUCUCUCUCUCUCUCUCUCUCUCUCUCUCUCUCUUUCUCUGUGUGUGUGUGUGUGUGUGUGUGUGUGUGUGUGUGUGUGUGUGUGGACAGAUAGAUAAAUAGAUAAUCUCCUGUCUGAGGAGAAGUUCCUGGCUUAAUAUUUUAUUUUAAACUUUAUUUCUCCUACAGACAAGACUUCUGUGAAUAGCUUAACAACUUAUACAGCUGGAACCUGUGGACCAAGUUGAUUUGAAAUUUCUUGCUCGUCAUUUAUAUGGUCUUUACUGCUGAGGACAGAUCCAACUUUCACCUACAGCAAAGUUCACAGUUGAAGUUUCCUCAUCAGAGACAGAGGAUAAAAAGCUGUAAGAAAAAAAUCAGUGCAACAAUAAAUGGCUCCUGUGAAUCUAAAGGACAUACCCACAUGAACAAGUUGCUACUUAUAGGGUCUCUGUCUAAUUUAUUCCUAUUUCCAGACCUUCUUCCAAUAGUGGGCCUCCAUUUUCAUGGGGGAUAGUACAGGAUGCACACAGAAGUGGAAAAAUGUGAAUAAAAAUCCUUUACUAACAAAAGAGAAUACCUCUUUAAGAAUUUAUUGGUUCUCCACCAUGCCUCAAUGGUGGAAGGUAGUCAUAGCAUGGAAGACCUUCUAGACUUGCCCAAAUUUGAGUGAAAUUAUAAUUUAAAAUGCUGAUUUCGU
rnacentral:lncRNA from 11 species